GACGAACGCUGGCGGCGUGCUUAACACAUGCGAGUCGAACGGAGUUGAGGAGGUUGCUUCUUAACUUAGUGGCGAACGGGUGAGUAACGCGUGAGGAACCUGCCUUUCAGUGGGGGACAACAGUUGGAAACGACUGCUAAUACCGCAUGAUACUACUGGGCCGCAUGGUCUGGUAGUCAAAGAUUUAUUGCUUAAAGAUGGCCUCGCGUCUGAUUAGCUAGUUGGUGGGGUAACGGCCCACCAAGGCGACGAUCAGUAGCCGGACUGAGAGGUUGACCGGCCACAUUGGGACUGAGAUACGCCCCAGACGCCUACGGGAGGCAGCAGUGGGGAAGAUUGGGGAAUGGGCGAAAGCCUGACCCAGCAACGCCGCGUGAAGGAAGAAGGCCUUCGGGUUGUAAACUUCUUUUACCAGGGACGAACACAAUGACGGUACCUGGAGAAAAAGCAACGGCUAACUACGUGCCAGCCGCCGCCGUAAUAC
rnacentral:rRNA from 1 species